CAACUACUCUCUCUGUCCCAAAUUUCUUGUCUUAGAUUUGUCUAGAUACGGAUGUAUCUAAUACUAAAAUGUGACUUGAUACAUUCGUAUCUAGACAAAUCUAAGACAAGAAUUUUGGGACGGAGGGAGUACUUU
rfam:Triticum aestivum genome assembly, contig: Triticum_aestivum_CS42_TGACv1_scaffold_392969_5AS